UUCGCGGCGUAGCGUCGAGCGGUACUGUAGCUGAGAGAGGACAAUGACGAUUGAAUGGGAAACCCUCCGAGAUCGUAGGUGAUAUUAAUUAUUGUCUUCUUCUUGUCGAGCCUUCAACAUAGCUUAUACAUACUUCUCCAUGCAUGCUCAAGUGGGACCAGUGGUAGGCUCCGUUGGAAUAGCCAUGGACUUUAAUCACAUUUAGCGCCCGCAUAUUCUCGACUCCAACAAAAUGAAGAAGCCACCUCUUAUGUCAUGUCUCUCACCAAAUCUAACCCUUUCAUUGGUCCCGCUAAGAUUUCGGGCUCCAUGUCACGGUUGAUGUGCGGAACUGGGAUUUCCUUGGUGCCCUUGCGAGUCUGUGUGAAGAGUUGCGGGUCGAUCUUGCGUGUUCUAUAUUAUAGAUGAGAACUCAACUCUUCAUACUUCGCUUGCUAUUCUUGGAAUCAUACAGUCUCUUCACCAUCUAGGCAAUUAUGUGCAAUAAUCAAGCUGAUAACAACAGUUACACAAUUUUCUUUGGAGUUAUGUAAAUGAAUCCAACGUAUAUGUUAAUUUUAUGAGGGAAGAAGAAGAAAUGAUCUUUUUUUUUUUUAAUUAAAAGCAGUUCCUCAGCCAUGACUAGCUGAUUUAAAUUGACUUCCAUUGCCUGGAGUAAAAAAGGGGAUCCUGUUAUGUUGAUAGUCAAACUUCAACAUUUUUUUUCUUCAUUGGACAGUAAAGAAACACGGGACCUUUUGCUUUA